rnacentral:rRNA from 1 species
AAGUCGUAACAAGGUCUCCGUUGGUGAACCAGCGGAGGGAUCAUUACCGAGUUUACAACUCCCAAACCCCUGUGAACAUACCACUUGUUGCCUCGGCGGAUCAGCCCGCUCCCGGUAAAACGGGACGGCCCGCCAGAGGACCACUAAACUCUGUUUCUAUAUGUAACUUCUGAGUAAAACCAUAAAUAAAUCAAAACUUUCAACAACGGAUCUCUUGGUUCUGGCAUCGAUGAAGAACGCAGCAAAAUGCGAUAAGUAAUGUGAAUUGCAGAAUUCAGUGAAUCAUCGAAUCUUUGAACGCACAUUGCGCCCGCCAGUAUUCUGGCGGGCAUGCCUGUUCGAGCGUCAUUUCAACCCUCAAGCACAGCUUGGUGUUGGGACUCGCGUUAAUUCGCGUUCCCCAAAUUGAUUGGCGGUCACGUCGAGCUUCCAUAGCGUAGUAGUAAAACCCUCGUUACUGGUAAUCGUCGCGGCCACGCCGUUAAACCCCAACUUCUGAAUGUUGACCUCGGAUCAGGUAGGAAUACCCGCUGAACUUAA